rnacentral:rRNA from 1 species
UACAGAGGGUGCAAGCGUUAAUCGGAAUUACUGGGCGUAAAGCGUGCGUAGACGGUUAUUUAAGUCAGGUGUGAAAGCCCCGGGCUCAACCUGGGAAUUGCAUUUGAGACUGAAUAGCUAGGGUGCGGAAGAGGGAAGCGGAAUUUCCGGUGUAGCGGUGAAAUGCGUAGAUAUCGGAAGGAACACCAGUGGCGAAGGCGGCAUCCUGGACCGGCAUUGACGCUGAGGCGCGAAAGCUAGGGGAGCAAACGGG